rnacentral:rRNA from 1 species
UACGGGGGGGCAAGCGUUGUUCGGAAUUACUGGGCGUAAAGGGCUCGUAGGCGGCCAACUAAGUCAGACGUGAAAUCCCUCGGCUUAACCGGGGAACUGCGUCUGAUACUGGAUGGCUUGAAUCCGGGAGAGGGAUGCGGAAUUCCAGGUGUAGCGGUGAAAUGCGUAGAUAUCUGGAGGAACACCGGUGGCGAAGGCGGCAUCCUGGACCGAUACUGACGCUGAGGAGCGAAAGCCAGGGGAGCAAACGGG